rnacentral:rRNA from 1 species
CGCAAGCCUGACGGAGCAACGCCGCGUGAGGGAUGAAGGCCUCUGGGCUGUAAACCUCUUUUAUCAAGGAAGAAGAACUGACGGUACUUGAUGAAUAAGCCACGGCUAAUUCCGUGCCAGCAGCCGCGGUAAUACGGGAGUGGCAAGCGUUAUCCGGAAUUAUUGGGCGUAAAGCGUCCGCAGGCGGUUUUACAAGUCUGUCGUUAAAGCGUGGAGCUCAACUCCAUUUCAGCGAUGGAAACUGUAAGACUCGAGUGUGGUAGGGGCAGAGGGAAUUCCCGGUGUAGCGGUGAAAUGCGUAGAUAUCGGGAAGAACACCAGUGGCGAAAGCGCUCUGCUGGGCCAUAACUGGCGCUCAUGGACGAAAGCCAGGGGAGCGAAAG